UACGGGGGGGGGUAAGCGUUGUUCGGAAUUACUGGGCGUAAAGGGCUCGUAGGCGGCCAACUAAGUCAGACGUGAAAUCCCUCAGCUUAACUGGGGAACUGCGUCUGAUACUGGAUGGCUUGGAUUCGGGAGAGGAAUGCGGAAUUCCAGGUGUAGCGGUGAAAUGCGUAGAUAUCGGGAAGAACACCCGUGGCGAAGGCGGCUCUCUGGGACGGUACUGACGCUGAGACGCGAAAGCGUGGGGAGCGAACAGG
rnacentral:rRNA from 1 species